rnacentral:lncRNA from 10 species
GAAAAAGCAGUAACAUCUAACAUCUGGGCCUCGGACGUCUCAAAAGUGCUCUAUUGACUUUUUCUUUUAAACCAAUGUACCGAAUCCCACUCGGUUGGCAGGAGGCCACGGGCGGAUUUGGGGCGGCACAGAGCACAGCCGAGUGCCAGGGUGUACCCCGCCGCAGCAUUUUUCCAAGGCUCUGCCUGGCUGGCCCUGCUCGCAGUGGGAGCUGUGGUCCCCGCAGAACGGCGCGUCCUGGGCAGGCUGCGCGCGGGUGAUUCAUGCAUUCAUGCAUAUCUGUGGGAAGCUGGGAACCAAGCUGGUGAGCUCGGCUGCCAAGUAGGCCUUGCUGGCCCUGCUUUCCCCUGGGGCUGGGCAACCCCAGGCUCCUUCGUGACUCCUCAGAAUCUCGGACACCCCCUGAAUUCCACCCUGGUGGGCCAUUUGUGGUCUGUGCCCCAUCCAGGGCCUGAAAGAGGUGCACCAACCUCCUACAUGGAUUCCACAGAUCCUGAUUCAGACAGCGAGCACCCCGGACUAUAACGAUACCUGGGGGAAAUAGACAGAGUCUGCGCACCACCGAAUUCCAGCUGGUGGACUUCAGACCCGGGUUUGAAGCCUGGCUCUGCCACAUCCUGAUCAUGUGGACUUAGAUCACCUGAGUGAGUAAUCACAGAUGGCUGCUUGGAGGUGGCAAGAGAUGGACGGGGGGUUUCCAGUCUGUCAUCCCGGGUUCCAGCUUGUCCUGGUGGCUCCAGUUUGUCGUCACUCCCUCCCACUUCCCAUCCAUCCUUCCUUCUUGGUGGCUGCCCUGCUGACUUGAGGAUCCAGCGUCAAAUUCAAAGAAGCAGCCCCAUGUAGACUGGUGAACCAGCUCCCCAAGUUGCAUAAGCCAGUGAGGAGCUGAGGCCCUGAAUCGAAGAGCCCACACAUGACAGAAUCCUCCCAACAACCACAUGUGUGAACUUGGAAAUGGAGCCGACACCAGUUGAGCCUUCAGAUGAGAUCCUAGCCCUGGUUAAGACCUUGAUCGCAGCCUUGGAAGAGACACUGAAGGAGAGGACCCAGCUAAGCUGUGCCUGGAUUCCUGCCCCACAGAUACUGUUCUUUGCAACCAUGAAACUCCUGAGCAAGGUAAUGGGACAGAGAAAUUAACUAAAGCCAAGCCCCACAAUGAACCGAUUCUGCUAUGGCUGCUGCAGGGUGAGCUCUCGUCUCUCCUUCCCAGCUGUUCCCCUCUUGGCAACAGCACACCGUCCCCCCUUGCCCCAGAAGUCACCCAUUCACCUUACGUUUGGACAUCAUUCCUGGCAUUAAGACUUCUCUCCUGGGGAGGGGUCUUCUACCGAGGUAAGCGGUUGGCAUCAGCAUCCCUCACCUAUCGACAAAAUGGAUGCGGGUGAUGGCCACCCACUGUGUGCUCUCAGAUGAACCUGAAUCGCCCCCCAGAUGGCUUCUGGGAGAGGGUAUUAACUGCAAACGUUUGCAGAGCCAUGUGCUGAAAUGUGGCAAAGUGUGUGCUUUUAAAGGAGAAGGCUCGCAGAGGAAAUGUGGAUCGUUGCCCCAUCCUGCAGUUUUGUGAAUUUGGAACGUGUUCACUAGGGUCUCUGGAAGUUCACGGUAGCCAGCAUGUCCACAAAUAAGGCCAAGCAGCCAGUUACAAUGUCCCCACCCUGCACUGUGGCUGAGAGGCCAAGCCCUGCAGCCGCACAGACCUGGGUGUGAGAACAGCUACGCUGACCGUGUAUGAGCUGCAUGACACUGGGCCGCUCAAACGCUCUGUGUUUCACUUUCCUCAUCUGUAAGUGCACAUUACAACUGGAACGACCUGAUGCACUCCUACAGAAGAAAUUAAAAUUACGUAUGGAAUGCAGGCACAUCUUGAAUGCAAUAAAUGUUCACUUUUAUUGAGGUCAGGAGGAGCAUUGACCACCAGAGGAGGAACCCAAGUGGCUGUGUGGAAAUGCUCCCAGCUGUCACACCCAGGAACCUGAGCUCUGAUGGAUACCACCUUUGCCCUCCUCUUCCAAGCCCCACAGUCCACUGGGUUGCUCUUCGUGCUCACAGACUCUGCACAUGCAUGCUGUCACCAAGUGUUUUUUUAUUUUAUUUUAUUUAUUUUUUGUUUUUUUAUUUUAUUUUAUUAUUAUUAUACUUUAAGUUUUAGGGUACAUGUGCACAAUGUGCAGGUUUGCUACAUACGUAUACAUGUGCCAUGUUGGUGUGCCGCACCCAUUAACUCGUCAUUUAGUAUUAGGUAUGUCUCCUAAUGCUAUCCCUCCCCGCUCCCCCCACCCCACAACAGUCCCUGGUGUGGGAUGUUCCCCUUCCUGUGUCCAUGUGUUCUCAUUGUUCAAUUCCCACCUAUGAGUGAGAACAUGCAGUGUUUGGUUUUUUGUCCUUGCGAUAGUUUGCUGAGAAUGAUGGUUUCCAGUUUCAUCCAUGUCCCUACAAACCAAGUGUUUACUUGGUGUUUACUGAGCACCCUCUGGGGGCUAGACACUAGGCCUCAGUAGGUGGGUGGCUUAGUAAACACUAGUGCAUGUGUUUACUGAACACCUCUGGGGACUCGACACUAUGUCAAGUGCAGCAGAGUCUAGGAGUUAAUAGCAGAGUCUGGAGAAAUCCAGCCUAGAUUUGAAUGCUAGCUCAUAACUCACUAGCUAUGGUACCUUAGGAAGAUACUGAGCCUCUCUGUGUCUCUGUUCCCUCUUUUUUCAAAUGGGGAUAGUACUUACCUCUUGGGGUGGUUUUGAGGAUUAAAUGAAUUGCUCUAUAUACAGGAGAUGGGCCAGUGCUCAGGACAUGGUGAAUCCCAUCCAAUUAUUAGUAAUUAACAUCUACUUUAAAAGUAUGCUUGACCUUCUUGAGGACUACAUGUUAAGGCAUUGAGGAUAACUUAAUUCCUUCAGAAUUGAAACAGCACUAGUUAAUAUGGAUUGAGCCCUUUUUCUAUGCCCACGUGCUUUAUAUCAGGGUUAAUACACUUUUUCUUAAAGGGCCAGGUAGUAAAGAAUCAAGGCUUUCCAGGCCAGAGGCAAAAAUGAGGCUAUUAUGUAGGUACUUAUAUAACCAUUUAAAAUGUAACCAUUUCAAAAUGAGAAGGAAGAAAACAUUCUUAGCUCAUGGGCUUUAAGAAAAACUAGUAGCUGGAUAGAUUUGGUCUGCAAGCUGGAGUCUACCUAUCUCUGCUUUAUAUCAUUCAAUCCUUACAAAAACACAAGUAGCAUUAUUAUCUCCACUUUAAGACCCGGAAGCUUUGUCUCAGAGAGGUUGAGUGACUUAUAUUGUCGUCAGUCUCUCCCUUCUGUUCCGUUAAUAUCUGCUUUAUAUAUUUAGGUGCCUUGAUGUUGGUUCUGGCAGAUGUCCACUCCUUAAUGGAUUUUUCUUGGAUGCCUGAAUGAUAGAAUUGGGACAUGAGGCAUCUAGGUGUCUGACUUCCUAAACAGCAUUUCGAUGAGAAAGAAGAGUUCCAUGAUUUGGGGGCUUGAUACAUAGAGAUAUAGAGUAGGAUAUAGAGUAGGAGUUCUCUUGAGAAUAAGGGGGAGCUCUUCAGACUACAAGACAAGCAAGGCUCCUCCAUGGCCCCUGCUGAGCUCCCUGUGAGGCCAAGAUAAUAAUUCAAUGACCAUAAUGAAUGAGCUAACUGUUGAGUGCUUUAAAAUAGCUCGAAAACACAGCCGUUUCACAUAGCCACUUCCUGCUUUAUAUCCCCUAUUCCAUUAGCUUGUGUUCCAGAAGAGGCCUGUGACAGAGCAGGAGCAUUACCAUCUUGGACAAGUCCCUCAUUCUAAAGAUCACCUUAAUAAAAAAAAUCGCCUAAAUCCAAAGGGCAUCAGCCUGAUGGCUAAGGUCAGCAUGACCGUAAACCACAAAUAACAUCUCCAACCAGAAACAUUCCAAACUCUUCCCCGACCAGAGACAUGCUAGCCCCAAGAUAAGCCCCCUCCAACUGGGAAGAUCCCAGCCUUGAGAUAUCCCCCUCUGGCUGGAAAGAUAUCUGCCCCAAGAUAACCUCUCCUCCUCCCAGAGACAUUCCAACCCCACCAUAAAACUUCUCUCACACAAAAACAUUCCAAGCUUGUAAUAAGCCCCUCACCCUAAAACCAAUAUAUACUCUUAGCCUGUAAGAGAAAGUGCUCCUGACUGAAAUCGGCCAGAAGCCCCUCUCAGGUUUUAUCUAAAGUAAACCUGUCUUUAACUGCCAAGCUAUGUUUCAUGUUUCUUUCCUCUUUAACUCUUACAGCCUGUAGCAUCACUUCUGUCCUAGAGGGAUCUUCUCAUCUUAAUUGGCUGGCAAGCCACACACAACUGACCUCACAAGGGGCCCGGAGAGCCACACAGAAUAAGCACUUGUGUGAUGCCCAUUGGCUCACCUGACACACACAGCCUUAAGGCCUUUGCACUUGUGGUUUGCUUUAUGUAGAGUAGAAGUCAGCAGACUUUUCCUACAAAGGACCAGAGAGCAUAUACUUUAGGCUUUGUUGGCCUUAUGGUCUGUUGAAACUACUUAAUUCUGCUCUCGUAAUAGGAAAGCAGCCAUAGAUAAGAUAAUGCAUAAUGGCAGGGUGUGGUGGUUCACGCCUGUAAUCCAAGCACUUUGGGAGGCCAAGAUGGGCAGAUCACCUGAGGUCAGGAGUUUGAGACCAACCUGGACAACAUGGUGAAACCCCAUCUCUACUAAAAAUACAAAAAUUAGCCAGGUGUGGUGGCUGGCGCCUGUAAUCCCAGCUACUCUGGAGGCUGAGGCAGGAGAAUCACUUGUACCUGGGAGGCAGAGGUUGCAGUGAGAAGAGAUUGCGCCACUGCACUUCAGCCUAGGCAGUAAAGCAAGACUCUGUCACCCCUCAAAAAAAAAAAAAAAAAAAAAAAAAAGAUAAUGAUGCAUAAUGAAAGUGCAUGACUGUGGUUGUGUUCCAAUAAAACUUUAUUUAUAAAAACAGGUGGUAGGGCAGAUUUGGCCUGUGGCCCUUAGUUUGUCAACUCAUGACCUAGAAUAUUCUCCCCCCAGGAAGCUGAAAGGCUCCCUCUUUCACUGCUUCCAGCCAUCUGUGUAGCUACCACCCUAUCUCAACAGCCACACCCCUGCCACCCUGUUCCUCAACCUUCCUUUACUUCCCCACAAAGUCCUUACUAUUAUGUGAAAUUACAUUAUAUAUUAAUUUAUCGGUUUAUCAUCUGGUACCCUCCUUUGGGAAUGUAAAAUCAAUGAGAGGUACCCAGAGCUUGUAGAAACGUUUGGUAUAUAGUAGACACACAAUAAAUAUUUGUGGAAUGAAUAAAUCUCAAAGAACAAUAACCAUAAAUACAAAUAAUAGCAAAUACUUUCUGCACAUGUAUUAAUAUAUUCCUGGCACUCUGAUACACAUAUGCAAAAUACUGAAUUCUUUCAAUAGCCCUAUAAUGCAGGAUCUUUUAUUAAGCCCGUUUUACAGAAGAAGCUGGGGCUUGGAGAGGUAAAUUACUUGCCCAAAUGGUGAUGUUUGCCAUCACAGGAAAACAUCACAGAACAUUAGAGCUGGCUAGGACCUUCAAGAUCAAUCUUAUUCCAACCCUGGCAUUAUACAAAUGCAGAAACUGCAAUUUGGCAAGAGGAAGCCACAUGCCAAAGGUCACAUAGCAAGAAAGGGACAAGGUAGAAUAAAGACCAGUGUCCUUGCCUUCCUGGCUGUAGGAUGCACAACCUCCAGCGCACUCUGAGUAGUGUCAGUUCCCUGCGUGAUCUGUCACUGGGGGGACUGUGACCUGCUUGUGGCCUGUGAGCAGUGGAACCAGAGCUUUCUCUCUCGUCCCAUCGGUUACUUCAGGGACGAACUGCAUGCCAGGCUUCCUCCCUGACUCAUCCAAUGCAGGUGAAGCCAGGUUAUCUCAGCACCUGCAUCCCCCAAGAGGCUGCAGAUGCAAAGCCUCUAUAAAGAAGGCAAUAAAGACUGCCAGGCAGCCAUCCUAGGAAUACUAACCAAGAUCUCUCUCCGCCCUGGUGCUGGGCGCUAUCCCCACACAUAACAGUUUGCUCUAGGGGAGGGAGAGGCUGUCUGUGUUUUAUAAGUGCUCUUAGUCACGUGUUUUUUUGUUUUUUUUUUUUUUUAUGGAAAAAAAAUCACUAGAACCAGUUUCCUCUUUCCUAAAUUAAUCCCAGUGUUUCUGUUUUCAAAGAGCAUUUAAGGACCAAAGGCCAGAGCCCUCAAAACCGGCACACACCUCCAGCUUGUGCGGGGCUGGGCAUAGUUCCAGAGGGCCUGGCUGUGCCCACGACAGAGGUUUCCUGUCCAGACAGAAGGGGACAUAUUAGUCGGCUAGGGAUGUCACAACAAAGUACCACAGAAUAUGUGGCUUAAACAAAAAGAACUUAUUAUCUUACAGUUCUAGAAGCUAGAAGUUCAAGAGCAAGGAGUCGGCAGGGCUGCUUUUUUCUUUUUUAAUUGUUAUUUAUUUAUUUAUUUAUUUAUUUGAGAUGGAGUCUCUCUCUGUCACCCAGGCUGGAGGACAGUGAUGCAAUCUCUGCUCACUGCAACCUCCGCCUCCCGGUUCAAGCAAUUCUCCUGCCACAGCCUCCCAAGUAGGCGGGAUUACAAGUGUGCGCCACCGUGCCUGGCUAAUUUAUUUAUUAUUAUUUUUUUUUUCAGUAGAGAUGGGGUUUUACCAUGUUGGCCAGGCUGGUCUUGAACUCCUGACCUCAGGUGAUCCACCCCCCGCGCCCCCCGGCCUCCCAAAGUGCUGAGAUUACAGGUGUGAGCCACCGCACCCUCCCAGGGUUGCUUUUCUGAGGCCUCUCUUCUUGGCUUGCAGGUGGCCACC